GGGAGAGGAGAGCAACUGCAGUUCAGUGAGCAGGCACAGGCAAUGGAAAUGACAAAAAAAUCCCAAACUCCUAGAAGAGUAUAGAAGUUUCAUCAGACAGAGCGCACUUUAUGAAAUACAGAAUAGAGGGGGGGGGGGGAAGUGAGAGUAAACACACGUUUUAUGGUGUGCUUUUGCUUUUAACUGUAAAACAGAACUUCCGAUCUGUCUUCUGCUCUGACACAUUUUGAGAAUGAGCAAAUAAAAGGAGAGAAGCGGAAGUCAAAAUGAGAAAGAAGGCUGACUGCAGUCUGCAAACCGAGCGCUACAAGAGACGGAUGUGGUGUGGGCAUGAAGUCAAAUCACAACAGAACAUUGAGACGAGAUUUUCUUCUGGAAAUAAACAGAGGGGAAAAGUGCUGUUUCUCAAAAAGAAAAAAAAAAUGAAGAAGGAAGAAAAAGGAGAAAAGGAGAAAAGGAGAAAAGGAGAAAAGGAGAAAAGGAGAAAAGGAGAAAAGGAGAAAAGGAGAAAAGGAGAAAAGGAGAAAAGGAGAAAAGGAGAAAAGGAGAAAAGGAGAAAAGGAGAAAAGGAGAAAAGGAGAAAAGGAGAAAAGGAGAAAAGGAGAAAAGGAGAAAAGGAGAAAAGGAUAGAUGUUACAGAACAGUUGGAGGAACGCCUGGAAUGAGACAUCCCUGUACAAGAAAUGCAAAAAUCCUAAUAGCCUUUUAUAUAUUCAUGAAUUAAGUGACAGAAAGGCUAAGCAGGAAAGUCCCACUGUUACAGAAGGGAAUAUUCACACAGCUCCUAUUAGCUGUUGUUUUCCAACACUGCAGUCUUCAGGGGAAUUAACACAUUUCCUAUUGAGAAAGAGGAAAACAAGACAGCUCAUUUAUCUGGAGGAGCGUCCCCGUCUUAUCACAGUAUCUGAGCAGAUCAAAGCUACCAGACACCACCAGAACCAGCACCAAAAGAUGUGGAACAUCUGAAGAAACUCUUCAUUCCAUCAUGUAAAUUAAAUGGCAAAAAAAAAAAAAAGUUUGUGGCUCCACUGCCUUUAGAGAUGUUUUGCUGCAGUGCUGACAUAGUGGCAAUGAAUCUGCUCUCACCGUUAGAAAAGUAUAAUGGACUGCCUGAGUCUGUGCCUCCUGCUCAAACCUGUAAGGCAUACAGAGACAAAAAGUAUUUGGCAGUGCUUAAAAUACCUCAUCCUCGUUUGUAUCUGUGCUUCUCAAUCUGCUGAAAGGAACUGCAUCUAGCUUGAAAACUUUCAGCUGAAAGGGAUUCUGUAACUUUAUUUUCCAUGUGUGCCCUUAAAAUGGUCUGAAUUUCUAAGGAAUCCUAGGAGUUUCAAAGUCAGUUUUUACACUGACACGCGAGUUUUUCAUAUCAUGUAACAAGUGCCAACGAUGUUACCCAUACUUCAAUGCUAUCUCCAUAAAAAUUUUCUAAGUAGACUUCGUUAAAAAAAACCAAAAGUCCAUAAGAUCACCUGCACAAAAUGAGAAAAGUGAGUGUGAUUUAUUCAGUGCCCUGCUAGUUUAAGAGAUUAAAGCUAUUACCAUGAUCGUCACAAAGAUUUGCAGUGAUCUGUAAGUGUGAAGGUUUGACUACACGGAGUAUAUCCGGAUGGUGCCCUCCGACUCCUGCUCUUUGUAUUACUUCAACUAAGGAGGAGUAGCAAUAGUUAAUCAACUUCUCUGACUCUUUGAAAUUUGCAGACCCAGAAAUUAAACCUGCGAAGCGCUGGGUAUCUCCUGCUCUUAGCGUAGCCAGGAUGGAGUCCCAAAAGACCAUUAGGUAAAUUUGAAGUAAUCUUAUAUAACUAAUGGAAAAAUCCUGUGACUUUUGGACAGCAGGUGGGUUUAUGAAACAAUCUCCUAACACCACCAGAAGCCAGUUGAGAGAUUACAAGUGCCAUAAUCUGCUCUAACAGUCCUCCUUUAACUCCUGUGCGCUGAAAUUCUAACCAGGGAAUGAGAUGGAGUGUACUAAGGGAGAUGCC
rnacentral:lncRNA from 1 species